rnacentral:rRNA from 1 species
CUCGUAGGCGGCCAACUAAGUCAUACGUGAAAUCCCUCGGCUUAACCGGGGAACUGCGUCUGAUACUGGAUGGCUUGAGGUUGGGAGAGGGAUGCGGAAUUCCAGGUGUAGCGGUGAAAUGCGUAGAUAUCUGGAGGAACACCGGUGGCGAAGGCGGCAUCCUGGACCAACACUGACGCUGAGGAGCGAAAGCCAGGGAGCAAACG